GUAAGGAAUAUUGGUCAAUGGACGCAAGUCUGAACCAGCUAUGCCGCGUGAAGGAUUAAGGUCCUCUGGAUUGUAAACUUCUUUUAUCUGGGACGAAAAAAGGUCUUUCUAGAUCACUUGACGGUACCAGAUGAAUAAGCACCGGCUAACUCCGUGCCAGCAGCCGCGGUAAUACGGAGGGUGCAAGCGUUAUCCGGAUUCACUGGGUUUAAAGGGUGCGUAGGCGGGCAGGUAAGUCAGUGGUGAAAUCCUGGAGCUCAACUCCAGAACUGCCAUUUGAUACUAUCUGUCUUGAAUAUUGUGGAGGUAAGCGGAAUAUGUCAUGUAGCGGUGAAAUGCUUAGAUAUGACAUAGAACACCCAUUGCGAAGGCAGCUUACUACGCAUAUAUUGACGCUGAGGCACGAAAGCGUGGGGAUCAAACAGGAUUAGAUACCC
rnacentral:rRNA from 1 species